UCCUAUGCACAGGUCCCAGUCUUUUAUUGC
rnacentral:piRNA from 1 species